AGAUUGAACGCUGGCGGCAUGCCUAACACAAGCAAGUCGAACGGGAGUAGCAAUACUCUAGUGGCGGACGGGUGAGGAAUACGUAGGAAUUUGCCCUUAAGUGGGGGAUAACCCGGGGAAACCCGGAUUAAUACCGCAUGACCUCGAAAGAGCAAAGUGGGGGAUCGCAAGACCUCACGCUUUUGGAGAAGCCUACGUCGGAUUAGCUAGUUGGUGAGGUAAUGGCUCACCAAGGCGACGAUCCGUAACUGGUCUGAGAGGAUGAUCAGUCACACCGGAACUGAGACACGGUCCGGACUCCUACGGGAGGCAGCAGUGGGAAUAUUGGACAAUGGGCGCGAGCCUGAUCCAGCAAUGCCGCGUGUGUGAAGAAGGCC
rnacentral:rRNA from 1 species